CACUAUAGACUGGGUGCAUUAAACAACAGAAGCUUAUUUUGUCCUGGUUCUAGACACUGGAAGUCCAAGAUCAGGAUCCCAGUAUGGUUGGAUUCUGGUGAGGACUUUCUCCCUGGCUUGCAGAUGGUAGCCUUCUUGCUGUGUGCUCACAUGGCAAAGAGAGAGAGGGACACAAGCUCUCUGGUAUCUCUUUUUAUAAGGGCACUCACCCCAUCAUGAUGGCCACACCCUCACAACCUCAUCUCAACCUAGUUAUCUCCUAAAGGCUCUCCAAAUACCACCACACUGCCGAGUAGGGCUUUGAUGUAUGAUUGUUGGUGGGAUACGAUUCUGUCCAUAGCAUUCCAAGUAACAGUAAUUAAGAAAAAAAAAAAAAGAGAGAAAACAUAAAUCAUUGUCAUCAGGCAUGAAAGGGCAAAUCACAACAGAUCCUACAGACAGUAAAAAAGCUAAUAAUAAAAUGGUAGGAACAAUCUUCUUCCAGUACAUUCAAUAACUUUAUUGAAGUGGACAAAUGUAAAUUCCUUGAAAAAUACAACUUAUCAAAAUGGACACAAAAAGAAAUUUUAAAAAAUGUAUCCGUUAAGAAAAUUGAAUUUGUAACAAAAACCUUUCCGACAAAUAAAACUCCAGGCCCAGAUAGCUUCACUGGUGAAUUGUACCAGCACUUAAAGAAGCACAUUAUCUCAUAGG